AUAACAUUAAAAGAUAAGGAGAAGAAAGAGCAGUAUCCAGUAAAGUUAUGCUGUUUAUCAGCUUCUUCUCUUGAAUAUCCAACGAGAUGGAGUAAAAUCAUAGCACUAAAUGU